UCAGGAGUCGUGCAGCCUGUUUGAGGCUGAAAGUAAAACAGCUGCAGUUCAGUUCAAAGCUUCAGAGAGAAACACACCGACCUCUGCUCUCGUGGCCGACUAGCUUGUUAAGCUUUUAUGAAGAUAGUGAUGAAACUGCAAAUGGUAUUCAUCAAGUUCUGAACUGCCUGAAAACGCAUGAACUGGAGGCGGGGCUCUGUCAGGCAGACGAGAUGUGCCCAUAUAAGGAUAAAGAAAGAGGAAGUGGGGAUUUCUCUUCAGAGGUCAUGUGACUUCCAGUUAGAGCGAUGCCACCACACACCCUGUCAGCAGAGGACACAGCACAUGAUGAACAGUCUGUACUGAUGAUUUUGUUUUAAAUGAAAUCUCCUGUUUCAUCUCAAUUUCAUUUUAAUCAAUAAAUUGCUUUUUAAUACAAA